rnacentral:rRNA from 1 species
AUUGAACGCUGGCGGCAGGCUUAACACAUGCAAGUCGAGCGGGGGAAGGUAGCUUGCUACCGGACCUAGCGGCGGACGGGUGAGUAAUGCUUAGGAAUCUGCCUAUUAGUGGGGGACAACAUCUCGAAAGGGAUGCUAAUACCGCAUACGUCCUACGGGAGAAAGCAGGGGAUCUUCGGACCUUGCGCUAAUAGAUGAGCCUAAGUCGGAUUAGCUAGUUGGUGGGGUGAAGGCCUACCAAGGCGACGAUCUGUAGCGGGUCUGAGAGGAUGAUCCGCCACACUGGGACUGAGACACGGGCCAGACUCCUACGGGAGGCAGCAGUGGGGAAUAUUGGACAAUGGGGGGAACCCUGAUCCAGCCAUGCCGCGUGUGUGAAGAAGGCCUUAUGGUUGUAAAGCACUUUAAGCGAGGAGGAGGCUACUUUAGUUAAUACCUAGAGAUAGUGGACGUUACUCGCAGAAUAAGCACCGGCUAACUCUGUGCCAGCCGCCGCCGUAA